GACGAACGCUGGCGGCGUGCCUAAUACAUGCAAGUCGAGCGGACGAAUCGAAAGCUUGCUUUUGAUUCGUUAGCGGCGGACGGGUGAGUAACACGUGGGCAACCUGCCCUGUAGACGGGGAUAACACCGAGAAAUCGGUGCUAAUACCGGAUAACACGAAAUGUCGCAUGACGUUUCGUUGAAAGACGGCGCAAGCUGUCGCUACAGGAUAGGCCCGCGGCGCAUUAGCUAGUUGGUGAGGUAACGGCUCACCAAGGCGACGAUGCGUAGCCGACCUGAGAGGGUGAUCGGCCACACUGGGACUGAGACACGGCCCAGACUCCUACGGGAGGCAGCAGUAGGGAAUCUUCCGCAAUGGACGAAAGUCUGACGGAGCAACGCCGCGUGAGCGAAGAAGGCCUUCGGGUCGUAAAGCUCUGUUGUUAGGGAAGAACAAGUAACGCAGUAACUGGCGUUACCGUGACGGUACCUAACGAGAAAGCCACGGCUAACUACGUG
rnacentral:rRNA from 1 species